UACCGAGGGGGCAAGCGUUGUUCGGAAUUACUGGGCGUAAAGGGCGCGUAGGCGGCCUUCUAAGUCAGACGUGAAAUCCCUCGGCUUAACCGGGGAACUGCAUCUGAUACUGGAUGGCUUGAGUUCGGGAGAGGGAUGCGGAAUUCCAGGUGUAGCGGUGAAAUGCGUAGAUAUCUGGAGGACCACCGGUGGCGAAGGCGGGUCUCUGGACAGUGCCUGACGCUGAGGCACGAAGGCCAGGGGAGCAAACGGG
rnacentral:rRNA from 1 species